rnacentral:rRNA from 1 species
AGGGCACCCCCAGGAGUGGAGCCUGCGGCUUAAUUUGACUCAACACGGGAAAUCUCACCAGGCCCGGACACCGGAAGGAUUGACAGAUUGAGAGCUCUUUCUUGAUUCGGGGGGUGGGGGUGCAUGGCCGUUCUUAGUUGGGGGAGCGAUUUGUCUGGUUAAUUCCGAUAACGAACGAAACUCUGGCCUACUAAAUAGACGUUAGAUCCCUUUGUGGGUCUAUCGCAGCUUCUUAGAGGGACGGGCGGCGUUCAGCCGCACGAGAUUGAGCAAUAACAGGUCUGUGAUGCCCUUAGAUGUUCUGGGCUGCACGCGCGCUACACUGAAGGAAUCAGCGUGUGUUCCCUGCCCGAAAGGACUGGGAAACCCGUUGAACCUCCUUCGUGAUGGGGAUUGGGGAUUGCAAUUAUUCCCCAUGAACGAGGAAUUCCCAGUAGGCGCGAGUCAUAAGCUUGCGUCGAUUACGUCCCUGCCCUUUGUACACACCGCCCGUCGCUACUACCGAUCGAGUGAUUUAGU